rnacentral:rRNA from 1 species
AGAGUUUGAUCCUGGCUCAGGAUGAACGCCGGCGGUGUGCCUAAUACAUGCAAGUCGAACGCGUUGGCCCAACUGAUUGAACGUGCUUGCACGGACUUGACGUUGGUUUACCAGCGAGUGGCGGACGGGUGAGUAACACGUAGGUAACCUGCCCCAAAGCGGGGGAUAACAUUUGGAAACAGAUGCUAAUACCGCAUAACAGUUUGAAUCGCAUGAUUCAAAUUUAAAAGAUGGUUUCGGCUAUCACUUUGGGAUGGACCUGCGGCGCAUUAGCUUGUUGGUAGGGUAACGGCCUACCAAGGCUGUGAUGCGUAGCCGAGUUGAGAGACUGAUCGGCCACAAUGGAACUGAGACACGGUCCAUACUCCUACGGGAGGCAGCAGUAGGGAAUCUUCCACAAUGGGCGCAAGCCUGAUGGAGCAACACCGCGUGAGUGAAGAAGGGUUUCGGCUCGUAAAGCUCUGUUGUUAGAGAAGAACGUGCGUGAGAGCAACUGUUCACGCAGUGACGGUAUCUAACCAGAAAGUCACGGCUAACUACGUGCCAGCAGCCGCGGUAAUACGUAGGUGGCAAGCGUUAUCCGGAUUUAUUGGGCGUAAAGCGAGCGCAGGCGGUUUGAUAAGUCUGAUGUGAAAGCCUUUGGCUUAACCAAAGAAGUGCAUCGGAAACUGUCAGACUUGAGUGCAGAAGAGGAUAGUGGAACUCCAUGUGCAGCGGUGGAAUGCGUAGAUAUAUGGAAGAACACCAGUGGCGAAGGCGGCUAUCUGGUCUGCAACUGACGCUGAGGCUCGAAAGCAUGGGUAGCGAACAGGAUUAGAUACCCUGGUAGUCCAUGCCGUAAACGAUGAGUGCUAGGUGUUGGAGGGUUUCCGCCCUUCAGUGCCGCAGCU